GACGAACGCUGGCGGCGUGCUUAACACAUGCAAGUCGAACGGAAAGGCCCUGCUUUUGUGGGGUGCUCGAGUGGCGAACGGGUGAGUAACACGUGAGUAACCUGCCCUUGACUUUGGGAUAACUUCAGGAAACUGGGGCUAAUACCGGAUAGGAGCUCCUGCUGCAUGGUGGGGGUUGGAAAGUUUCGGCGGUUGGGGAUGGACUCGCGGCUUAUCAGCUUGUUGGUGGGGUAGUGGCUUACCAAGGCUUUGACGGGUAGCCGGCCUGAGAGGGUGACCGGCCACAUUGGGACUGAGAUACGGCCCAGACUCCUACGGGAGGCAGAAGUGGGGAAUAUUGCACAAUGGGCUGAAGCCUGAUGCAGCAACGCCGCGUGCGGGAUGACGGCCUUCGGGUUGUAAACCGCUUUCGCCUGUGACGAAGCGUGAGUGACGGUAACGGGUAAAGAAGCACCGGCUAACUACGUG
rnacentral:rRNA from 1 species